AGGCUUUGACUUAAUAACAAGUGUGUGAUCAACCUUACACUGUUUCUUUCUUUUUAAUUUUUUUAAUUUUUAUUUGAGCCUAGAAAUGGGAUGUCGCUGAAAUACUUUGCCUACUUGGGUGUCAGCCAAUAAUAUGAAGAAAAAAGUCUACCAGAAGGAAAUAGAGACAUGGGAGCUCCUGUGUGUGGGCAGGUGCUGCAGCCCUGUGUCACUGCUGGUCACGUAAGCACACACGGGACUGGGAGUGUGGAGGAGAGAACCACUGCCUUUCAUGGAAACACAAAAUAGAAAAAGUAAGGAAGGACUUCUUUGGUGGUAUGGUCCCUUCAGCUCCAUGGGUUCAUUCUCUGCACACCAGCCCUGAAUACACCUGGGUGUCUGUGGUCUUCUUCAGGACAGCAUGUGGAGGAAAAUUAAGCUGUGAACUGGAAUUCCAUCAGGCUGUCUACUGUAAAGCUCCGUGGCUUUAGAAAAGGGGCAGUAGUGGUCAGAAAUGACACUCAAAAGGCCAGAGAAGUUCUGGAUGGGAGGGAAGAGGAUGCUGAGCCACCACUGAAGCUGCAAUGUAUGCACUGCUCAGCCUCUAUGUCUACCCCACCACAGAAAUUUCUACUUUUGGUUUUUGGAAGAAAUGUAGAAGGUUCUCUUCUGCUCUGAAAACAGCAUGGAAUUGUGAGCUAAAUAUUCUACCUAUCCAAUUAUAAAUGAACAAGCAGCUCAGGAUAGGUUUUUGGAAAAGUUUUCCUGUUUGAUUCUGGACCUGGAAGUUUCUUGAGCAAAUGACAUGUAAUUAAUAGAAUUCUGUGAAAGAGAGAAGAUGCUUUUACUUCACCCAGCCAUCUGAGGAAAGAGCAAAAGCAGAAACAGGGACAUGCCUAGGAAUACACAUCCAGCUUCUCCUCAGGAAUAAAAAAAAAUAAGGAGACUGUGAAAAAUAGAAAAAAUGCCAUAACAUUUUUCUCCAGAAUGGAUAAUAUGGGAGUUAGCUUCCUUUUUCAUUCUGAUGUAAGGAAAAAAAAAAACAACCCAGGCUUUCAGUCAAAUUCUCAUCUACUGUGUCCAGCUGGUUUGUGGCAAUGGAAUAGUAAUGACAGCAGGAUGGUAAUUUCAUCUUGAGUUUUACAAGCAAGAGGAGGUGCCAAGAAGGAAACCAG